GCAUGUAAGAAUAAUAUGAACAAUUAACUUGUUGAAAUGGAAGCUCAAUAUAGCAUGAAGUCACUACUUUCAUCAGUAAUAAUCUACCACAAGAUCUCUACUUAGCAUGGAUUUGCAUAAGUAAUAACUAUCACAUGAUCUCUACAUAGCAGGAAUUUGCAUUAGUAAUAAAAGUAACUACUACAAGCAUGUGCACAAGAGUAUCCAACAUGUAAAUGCAUAAAUAUGCAACUAGCCCAAUGUCCACAAUGUAAAUAGUAAAGAUGUCAUUCUCUACUAUUCUAGUCAAUGUCCAAAAGGUACAAUAUGUCACCAGUAACCCAAUCCUGUGGAAGCUACCCGUAGGUAGUCCGGCCUGCGCCGUGCCAACAAUGGCCCCGUGGUAGUCAACAUCCCCACUCUAGGAAUGAGCCUCCCCCACGGCAUCCCAUUUUGGCGCCCAAUCCCGCACGGGCAAGCAAAUGUCGCGAUGGCUAUCUCCAGAGUGCCGACUUGUAGGGAGCGACCCUCACAAGUAUGUGCGAAUGAGCACAAUGGCAUGCAAGCGAAUAAGUCCGUCUCAGGUCCCAGUGGUUCAUCACUGUUUCAUCGAAUCUAAAA
rnacentral:lncRNA from 1 species